CACGGUGAUGGAGGGGACGUUAACGUUUUUUGGGGGGCGUUCCCUGUUAUUUUUUUUCCCGCAAGAACGAAGGUGCGGCGGAGCCGUGCAUCCUUGUCGUCCUGUCACACACGCUAGCACCUGAAACCGCAUUGCAGUGGUGCACAUAUAUUUUGUUUUUUUGUGAAAAGCGUUUUUUCGUGCUAGUGUUUAAGCAUGUCUGUCAACUGCACGGACGAGAGGAUUCCGUUAUGAAGUGCAUUCAUACCCUGCAGGAACUUAAAGGGAAGGGCAUCGUUGGCAAGGACAGGGUCCACGAGAAGGUGCACUCAGGUUGUCACAAGUGCAGAAAAGGCAGUCUUUGAGGCAGCAGGGAAAAGGGCCGCAAGAAGUGACAGCGAUCAGGGAAUGCGCGACUUUGUGCUGUUAGAGGUCAACAGCAUGCAUCCUUGAAAAGCUAUAGCGCAGCCGGCGAAACAGUCGAGGGCGUCUCUCUUUAGCCAACAGGAAAAGCAUGAGAGAAAGAACGCAGCUCCGAAAAGGUUUCAUUUCUUAUGUGAAGUUCCACAUGCUCACCCCAGUCGACUGGUUGGCUGCAGCACGCGCCGUCUUCAUUGACGAUGCCGAGGAGUCGGCGAUGAAACUGGCUGCGUGACGGGGAAGUGCGCUCCAGCCGCCGAGCAGCCGUUCGGCCACCAACUGCACCUUGGGAUAGCGCCUGUGCGGCAAGGACGCGGAAAAGCACCGUGCAGGUAUCGUGCAACAGGAAUAUCCGCCUUUUCCGAGAGGAGUAUUCGGUCAGUUGCGGCACCUAACACCACGAGGAGGCGGCUUCAAGCAUGACCGGCGGCCACGACCCACAAGGAGAGACGUUUAUGCGCCAAACAUGAAAGCUCUUUCGCACUAAAGGCACACCACCCAUGCUCGGGGGCGGGUUCGCCGCCCUCUACGGGAGCAGAGACACCUGUCAUCGGCCAAGAAAUGGCUGAGAUCACGACGAGCAUGAAAAGGGCUGCGAGGCGCUUGUGCAACCACAGAGGUCCACCGCGAAGACAGCAACGACGGCAGUCCAAGCGGAACCGCGGGGACCGCAAUGGUGGGAGGAGGGGGCAAUGCCAGCAGCAACAGCACCCCUCUGCUCCUGCAUGGCGCACUCCACGCGUCGACCUGCCGUCGUGCCUCGGUGCAAAGGCCAGGUGCUCCACAUCGGAGGGGGGGCUAAAUUGAUGGGUGAAAGUGCCAAUCAGACUGGGAGCGCAGGAGAGGGUCACAUCACAGAUGGCUGCGAAACCGCAAGAGGCUACGGUGUGGGUGUGUGCACACUGUCGCAGCUCAGCGGACGACCCGAACAGAGACGCAGGAUGACGCUGAGAGAACCACGGCGGCUCAAAUGCAAGGCCGAAGAGCAGCGGAGAUCAUCCGCCAGCAAGGGCUCCGGACCCGCUGCCUAACGACGAACACGUCAUAGCAACGCACGCGACAUAUUGAGAGCCUCAGACGGCGAUGUUGUACUUGCAGUCCCUGAUUUCACAAGGUCUGGCUGAGAGUAGAGGCCUGAUUAGGCGCCUCGCACUGCUUACGGAGCAUUUCGCAACCGUAACAGCGCAGGGGAAGCACAGCGGUGUUAGCGGAAUCGGUAGAGGUAACUGUCUGAAUCUGUUUCACGCGUACACAGCAGAGGACAGCACAGCCCGGCGGGUGGCCUGUCGCGCAACGUCACAGAUGACUGCGGCACCACGUGUGUCACGUGCUGCGCCGUAGACGACUUGGCAUUGUCUUUGCUCAGAAGUACGUGCUCCCUGUUGUGCGAGCGUGUGCGCGAAAGGCUGCCCAUGCAAUUGCCGCAACGCGGCCUGGGCGGUGGUAAACCUCCCUCAUUGUUCUUUUUAUCCCUCAGUGCUGGUCGUAUGAUGAGCAGCUCCAAGCGCCGCUAUGAAGGACCACUGCAUGGAUUGCAGCCCGGUGCUGGGCCAUGUCCCGCUAAACAUCCCACGCAUGGCGAUCUUAUGGACUCGGCAGCAAUCUUCUAUGCAGUUAACGUCGAGCAGCGCAUAGGCGACCGCUCAGGUUGUUUCCUCCAGCCUCCUUGCUCACCCCGAUGCUGAGAGGACCGCCGCCGACGUGCCAUGCAUACAAACACACUCGGGUCCAAGCGAAAUGCAGAGCGCAUAUGCCCCCAGAGAUGAGCACAACUAUGAGGAGACGAGGUGCUGCCCUGGCCACAAGUCUGCGUAACGGGUGGAUGCGGCCAGCCGGGUGCGCCAGCAAUCGGUGAGCCUCACACUCUCUUCAUCCUUUCACAUCCUCUCUCUCUACUCAG
rnacentral:misc_RNA from 1 species